CAACAAGUGGGGCAGGGAGGGAGGUGUUUCAGUUUUGGGAAGAAGAGUCGCUGGGUUUAGGGUUGAGCAAGCCCUAAAUGAAACAGAGGGAUCGUGGAGGAAUGAGACCAGAAGGGAAAGGAUGCGGCAGGGAGGAAGGGUCUUUAAGCUUUUGUAAGUGAGAAGAUCCUCCAGAGUGUGAGGGGAAAUGAUAAUAGUUUGUGCUCCGAAAGUCAGUUUCUUUGUCUCCUGUAGUAAAACGUGUGCCGCAGCUAGAGCACACAGGCAUGGGGCCCACCCCCUAACAGUUGGAUUUAGUUGUUUGGAAAGGUAAGCAACAGGAGCAAAGGUGGGCCCUUCAUUUUGUUUGGCAUGCCCUGCAGACAAUUUAUUCAGCCUGUUCUGCACCUAACAGUUAUCUGGUCACGGGAGCCAGGAUUUAUGAGGCACCACUAAGAUUUUUAGAGAGGGUUGUUAUCUGGUCAGGGAAAGCCAAGCAUGGGUGAGUUCAAGGCAUGGGCAGGAAUUCCAAACAAGUUUAGAAAUCUAGUAAUUUAUAGUAAAACAGAAAUGAACUUUUCAUGACUUUGUGAUGAGAUGGCUCCCAAUCCUAAAAUGGAAUUAGUCUGAGUUCAUCACCAUACCCAGCACCUCAGAAACUUCACAAGGGCAAAAGUUGCAAACACCUGGGCACUCCUCACCAGGGCACAAGGAGAGAGGCCCAAGCAGCUCAGCCCAGGAUGGAGAGCAAUGACCUCGGACAGCACAGAGGACAGCAAAGGGCAGGUCCAAAUCCAAGCCCAAAGUGGCUGGUUGGAUUUCAGUUGAAGAGGAGGUUGGCCUUGAUGACAGUGACCAGGGCAGGACAGCCAAAGAACUUUCAGACUAACCCUCUGGGAACUGCUGGCCAGGGAAGCUCUCCCAGAUCCCUCUCUCAAAGUGACCUAAGCAUGACUGUUAUAACUCAGCUAACAUGAUCUUUAAAAGCUCAUUUUUUUACAACAAAUACUGAAUUAACUCUUAGGAUCAACAAAUGACAUGGACAUACAGAGUAAUUUUGAGGAGGGCAUCAACAUUAGCAGUUUGUUGUGUGUUUUUCUAAGGCCCUUUCCCAUGCCUUUACAUGCACAUAUGUGCAUAUAUAAGUAUAUGGGGAUUUUUUUUGCAGAAAUGAAGCUAUAUUUUAUAUAUAUUAUUUUGCUUUAUUCACUUAACAAUAUGUCUUGGAGAGCU
rnacentral:lncRNA from 1 species